CUUCCUUCCUCCUAAUCUGUGUUUCUUCCUAAUCUUUCUUUUCCUUUUCUUUUUCUCUUCUCCUUUUUUAGGAUUUCUAUGUAUGAUUUUGAAAGCAGUAGUGAGAAGGGACAUACCUACCUUGUUCCUAAUCUAAAUGGGAAAGCGUCACUUCCGGAUUGGAAAGCAAGGGGACGACGCGUUUGGCCCGUAGGAUACCUCCUCUGCCCAGAGGAAGAGGGUCCCAGUACAAGCAGAGAAGGGGAAGAGAGGGACCAGCAGGCACAUCUCUAAGCCUGGAAAGGUGAGAACGCCUGAGGUACAGAGCAACGAGACCACUUGCUCCAGGUCACCCACCAGGACGUGGUGGGGCCGGGACGAGGAGGCAGGCCUGGAUACUCAGACGUCGAUCAUGGCGCUCUUCUGCCUUCCCUAGUUCCCAGACCCCUCGCCACCACAUUCUCCCAGAGUCACAGAUGACCCCUCUCUACCCCCUGCCCUGGAGUGGUGCCCUCUGGUCAGAGG